GGGACAGACGUUGGAGCCCCGUGGCCGCCGGGAAUUGUAGUCAUGAGGAGCAGCCUUAAACUGAAUAGACUACACACCCCAGAAGACACCGCGCCGCCUAUCCUGGCUGUUUGGAUUGGCUAGUUUAGAAGCAGAGCGGGGCUACUCUUUCCUGUCAUCGCGGAGUGGGUCCGGUAAUUUUUGGAGUGGUCCUCUCAAAGAUGUGGAGGCGAUUUAAAUGAUAUAAUGCCGUUAGAAGCGUGGAUGUCUCCUCAAGCCAGGAGUAAAAGACCAAGACCCUCCUAGAGGAGACCACAUGUUUUAAGGGACAGAAAACUAAAUGACUAAGUAUCAAGGCAGCAUUCAGAAGUGAGACAAUGUUGGGUGCUCCGUGUAUCCGUAAGGCCUGGAAAAUUGUGUGACACUGGGUUAUGAGCUGCAUUAAAGACAGGAGCAUUGGGA